rnacentral:rRNA from 1 species
UACGGAGGGGCUAGCGUUGUUCGGAAUUACUGGGCGUAAAGCGCACGUAGGCGGCUUUGUAAGUUAGAGGUGAAAGCCCAGGGCUUAACCCUGGAAUUGCCUUUAAGACUGCAUCGCUAGAAUCGUGGAGAGGUAAGUGGAAUUCCGAGUGUAGAGGUGAAAUUCGUAGAAUAUUCGGAAGAACACCAGUGGCGAAGGCGGCUCACUGGCCCGAUAACU